UUGUAAACAAACAUUUUAAUGUUAUAUUCUAUUUAGGCUUGGUGUAUAAUUAUAAAAAAAUAAUAAUUUUUAUGAUCCUGAAAUCAAACAGUGUUUUAUCUCGUAAAGUUAUCUAUUAGUAAUAGAGAAAAGCUGUUUUUUUUGUCGUAUUCAACAUUCACUGAAAAAAGGAUUACUUGUAUAUAAAAGGGAUGCUAACUGAGCCAAUAAUUGUAUGAUCACUUUUUUCUUUAUAUCAGAGUAUUAAUAAAUAGAUGUAAUUAAAUUACCAAAGCAAUUGUAUUCUAACUUAACUCUACACAUAGUUAUUGUGAAUUUAAAAAAUCAAUAAUAAUUGUAGAUUUGCUCCAAGUACUUAUAAAAAUAAUAGAAUUGUUAUCAAUCGGUUAAUUAAAUCAUAUGGAAGACGUGACAGUAACUCCAGCAUCUGAAAAUACUGUUAAUCGAGAUGAACUUAACGUUAACGAUCAACAGCACCGGAACAUUGACGGCAAGGUAUCGGAAUCAAUACUUCGUAUUGGCAAAAAAGAAUCACUUAUCUGUCUUGGACGCGAGUAUGCAGAAGACCAAAUAUAUUUGUCGAAAGCUAAAGUCUUGGGAGAAAUAUACUCGUUUAUAAGAGUUGCUAUCAGAACCAGACCUGAUUAUAACGGCGAUUCUGAAAUCUGGCGAUGCAAUUCAGUGAGAGUACAUCUGUGUUUAGUAAAUUCGGUUCUAAAAUCGAAUUAGUUAUUAGAUGAUAUUAAUUCAUACCAUUUUCCUGUAAUUCUGGAAGAAUUAAAACGUUUUUUAAAAAAUUUCUUGCUUGGACCAAUGUAAUGCUAACAAAUUUUGACUCGGAUAUUAGUGUUCCAACAACUGCAAGAUCAGAAAAUUAUUUUAAGACAGUUAAAGAAGAGUUUUUAAAUAAUCAUCGGCCUAGUAGUAUAAUUAAAUAUUUAUGAAACACAUGAGAUUAUUUUCGUCAAUGUCCAGUUUGCUUUUCCAAUUUUCACGAGCAUUCAAUACAUCAUUAUUUAUUUUAUUUGCUUGAGUACUGUUCUCCAUAUUAAAUUCUGGUUGUAAUAAAGAUUUUUUUUAUCAAAUUUAGAUUUAGCUUCUAUCAUCCGGGCUGUCAAUGAUCUCAUGUGUUUUAUAAGUAUUUUGAUAAACCAAUCAGAUUUUUGCAAAACGCUGUUGAAUCUACAGAUUUGCGUUGGACCCAAUUGGUGUGACAAUCCCACCGCUGUCACCAGUUGUUAUGUCCUGGGAGGUUACUAGGAUCGGAGCUAACGCUUUCUCCUGGACAGUGGGCAGUUCGUUGUCACGCGGGACCAAUAUUGAAUUUGAAACCAGUGGAUAAAUUUAUUGUUGACUACGAUGAUGAUGAUUAUGAUUAUUAUUUAAUGUAAUAAUUAAGUUAUAGAUAAAAAUAAAUGUAAUUAAUAAAAUAACUUUUAUCUGAA